rnacentral:rRNA from 1 species
UACGUAGGGGGCAAGCGUUAUCCGGAUUUACUGGGUGUAAAGGGAGCGCAGGCGGCGUGGCAAGUCAGAUGUGAAAACCCGGGGCCCAACCCCGGGAGUGCAUUUGAAACUGCCAUGCUGGAGUGCCGGAGAGGUAAAGGGAAUUCCUGGUGUAGCGGUGAAAUGCGUAGAUAUCAGGAGGAACAUCGGUGGCGAAAGCGCUUUACUGGACCAUUAUUGACGCUGAGGAACGAAAGCCAGGGGAGCAAAUGGG